rnacentral:rRNA from 1 species
GGAAGCUUGCUUCCCCGGGCGUCGACCGGCGCACGGGUGAGUAACGCGUAUCCAACCUGCCUCUGACUGAGGGAUAACCCGUCGAAAGUCGGCCUAAUACCUCAUGGUAUCGUCUGCGGGCAUCCAACGACGAUUAAAGAUUUCAUCGGUCAGGGAUGGGGAUGCGUCUGAUUAGCUUGUUGGCGGGGUAACGGCCCACCAAGGCUACGAUCAGUAGGGGUUCUGAGAGGAAGGUCCCCCACAUUGGAACUGAGACACGGUCCAAACUCCUACGGGAGGCAGCAGUGAGGAAUAUUGGUCAAUGGGCGAGAGCCUGAACCAGCCAAGUAGCGUGCAGGAAGACGGCCCUAUGGGUUGUAAGCUGCUUUUAUGCGGGGAUAAAGUGAGGGACGUGUCCCUCAUUGCAGGUACCGCAUGAAUAAGGACCGGCUAAUUCCGUGCCAGCAGCCGCGGUAAUACGGAAGGUCCUGGCGUUAUCCGGAUUUAUUGGGUUUAAAGGGAGCGUAGGCCGUGGAUUAAGCGUGUUGUGAAAUGCAGGUGCUCAACGUCUGCACUGCAGCGCGAACUGGUCCACUUGAGUGUGCGCAACGCAGGCGGAAUUCGUCGUGUAGCGGUGAAAUGCUUAGAUAUGACGAAGAACUCCGAUUGCG